rnacentral:rRNA from 1 species
UACGGAAGGUCCGGGCGUUAUCCGGAUUUAUUGGGUUUAAAGGGAGCGUAGGCCGGGGAUUAAGCGUGUUGUGAAAUGUAGACGCUCAACGUCUGAAUUGCAGCGCGAACUGGUUCUCUUGAGUGCGCGGGAAGUUGGCGGAAUUCGUUGUGUAGCGGUGAAAUGCUUAGAUAUGACGAAGAACUCCGAUUGCGAAGGCAGCUGACUGUAGCGUAACUGACGCUGAAGCUCGAAAGUGUGGGUAU